AACGGCCAUACCAUGCUGAAUAUGCCAGUUCUCGUUAGAUCACCGAAGUCAAGCAUCAUUGGGCGCGGUCAGUACUUGGGUGGGUGGCCACCAGGGAACACCGCGUGCCGUU
rnacentral:rRNA from 1 species